rnacentral:rRNA from 1 species
AGGGCGGGACACGUGGUAUCCUGUCUGAAUAUGGGGGGACCAUCCUCCAAGGCUAAAUACUCCUGACUGACCGAUAGUGAACCAGUACCGUGAGGGAAAGGCGAAAAGAACCCCGGCGAGGGGAGUGAAAAAGAACCUGAAACCGUGUACGUACAAGCAGUGGGAGCACAGGUUUACCUGUGUGACUGCGUACCUUUUGUAUAAUGGGUCAGCGACUUAUAUUCUGUAGCAAGGUUAACCGUAUAGGGGAGCCGGAGGGAAACCGAGUCUUAAUUGGGCGUUAAGUUGCAGGGUAUAGACCCGAAACCCGGUGAUCUAGCCAUGGGCAGGUUGAAGGUUGGGUAACACUAACUGGAGGACCGAACCGACUAAUGUUGAAAAAUUAGCGGAUGAUCUGUGGCUGGGGGUGAAAGGCCAAUCAAACCGGGAGAUAGCUGGUUCUCCCCGAAAGCUAUUUAGGUAGCGCCUCGUGAAUUCAUCUCCGGGGGUAGAGCACUGUUUCGGCUAGGGGGCCAUCCCGGCUUACCAACCCGAUGCAAACUGCGAAUACCGGAGAAUGUUAUCACGGGAGACACACGGCGGGUGCUAACGUCCGUCGUGAAGAGGGAAACAACCCAGACCGCCAGCUAAGGUCCCAAAGUCAUGGUUAAGUGGGAAACGAUGUGGGAAGGCCCAGACAGCCAGGAUGUUGGCUUAGAAGCAGCCAUCAUUUAAAGAAAGCGUAAUAGCUCACUGGUCGAGUCGGCCUGCGCGGAAGAUGUAACGGGGCUAAACCAUGCACCGAAGCUGCGGCAGCGAACGUAUCACCCAAGACAACUUUACGGAGUUGACGAUUGACGGAGCGAAGCGACGUCAAAGCGUUCAUUAAAGUCGAGUUGGCUUAGGGAUACGUUCGUUGGGUAGGGGAGCGUUCUGUAAGCCUGUGAAGGUGUGUCGUGAGGCAUGCUGGAGGUAUCAGAAGUGCGAAUGCUGACAUAAGUAACGAUAAAGCGGGUGAAAAGCCCGCUCGCCGGAAGACCAAGGGUUCCUGUCCAACGUUAAUCGGGGCAGGGUGAGUCGACCCCUAAGGCGAGGCCGAAAGGCGUAGUCGAUGGGAAACGGGUUAAUAUUCCCGUACUUGGUGUUACUGCGAAGGGGGGACGGAGAAGGCUAUGUUGGCCGGGCGACGGUUGUCCCGGUUUAAGCGUGUAGGUGUGUGUUCCAGGUAAAUCCGGUUCACUUUAACACUGAGGCGUGACGACGAGGCACUACGGUGCUGAAGCAACAAAUGCCCUGCUUCCAGGAAAAGCCUCUAAGCAUCAGGUAACAUCAAAUCGUACCCCAAACCGACACAGGUGGUCAGGUAGAGAAUACCAAGGCGCUUGAGAGAACUCGGGUGAAGGAACUAGGCAAAAUGGUGCCGUAACUUCGGGAGAAGGCACGCUGACACGUAGGUGAAGUGAUUUACUCAUGGAGCUGAAGUCAGUCGAAGAUACCAGCUGGCUGCAACUGUUUAUUAAAAACACAGCACUGUGCAAACACGAAAGUGGACGUAUACGGUGUGACGCCUGCCCGGUGCCGGAAGGUUAAUUGAUGGGGUCAGCGCAAGCGAAGCUCCUGAUCGAAGCCCCGGUAAACGGCGGCCGUAACUAUAACGGUCCUAAGGUAGCGAAAUUCCUUGUCGGGUAAGUUCCGACCUGCACGAAUGGCGUAAUGAUGGCCAGGCUGUCUCCACCCGAGACUCAGUGAAAUUGAACUCGCUGUGAAGAUGCAGUGUACCCGCGGCAAGACGGAAAGACCCCGUGAACCUUUACUAUAGCUUGACACUGAACAUUGAGCCUUGAUGUGUAGGAUAGGUGGGAGGCUUUGAAGUGUGGACGCCAGUCUGCAUGGAGCCGACCUUGAAAUACCACCCUUUAAUGUUUGAUGUUCUAACGUGGACCCGUAAUCCGGGUUGCGGACAGUGUCUGGUGGGUAGUUUGACUGGGGCGGUCUCCUCCUAAAGAGUAACGGAGGAGCACGAAGGUUGGCUAAUCCUGGUCGGACAUCAGGAGGUUAGUGCAAUGGCAUAAGCCAGCUUGACUGCGAGCGUGACGGCGCGAGCAGGUGCGAAAGCAGGUCAUAGUGAUCCGGUGGUUCUGAAUGGAAGGGCCAUCGCUCAACGGAUAAAAGGUACUCCGGGGAUAACAGGCUGAUACCGCCCAAGAGUUCAUAUCGACGGCGGUGUUUGGCACCUCGAUGUCGGCUCAUCACAUCCUGGGGCUGAAGUAGGUCCCAAGGGUAUGGCUGUUCGCCAUUUAAAGUGGUACGCGAGCUGGGUUUAGAACGUCGUGAGACAGUUCGGUCCCUAUCUGCCGUGGGCGCUGGAGAACUGAGGGGGGCUGCUCCUAGUACGAGAGGACCGGAGUGGACGCAUCACUGGUGUUCGGGUUGUCAUGCCAAUGGCACUGCCCGGUAGCUAAAUGCGGAAGAGAUAAGUGCUGAAAGCAUCUAAGCACGAAACUUGCCCCGAGAUGAGUUCUCCCUGAGACUUAGAGUCUCCUGAAGGAACGUUGAAGACGACGACGUUGAUAGGCCGGGUGUGUAAGCGCAGCGAUGCGUUGAGCUAACCGGUACUAAUGAACCGUGAGGCUUAACCUUACA